UGUAGGAGUUUCAGGAGUUUCAGCAGUUUUUGUGUUUGCAGAGAGAGGAGUUCUAUAGAGGAAUGAAUAUACGGGCACCUGGUCAUCAAGGCUUUGAUGUACCAGAGAUACAGCCAUGGGAGGAGGAGGACGG